UACGUAGGGGGCAAGCGUUGUCCGGACUUACUGGGCGUAAAGCGCGCGCAGGCGGGCUCGUAUGUGCCGUGUGAAAGCGCCAUCCUUAAUGUGGCGAGGUCAUGGUAGACAGCGAGCCUGGAGCCUCGGAGAGGUCGGUGGAAUUCCGGGUGGAGCGGUGAAAUGCGUAGAGAUCCGGAGGAACACCAGGGGCGAAGGCGGCCGACUGGCCGAGUGCUGACGCUGAGGCGCGACGGCGUGGGGAGCGAACAGG
rnacentral:rRNA from 1 species